AGUCAUCAUUCCCUAGUGGCAAGUAAUUAAUUGUAAGAAGGAAAGACAAACCAGAAUAAAAACAAAGAAAAUCACCACAGAAUGUUUUAUCUGACCGUUACAAAAAUUUACUUACUGAUGUUGGUUUGGGAGAUGUGGGUUUGCUUGAGCUCUCUGUGAUCUUGUCUGAAAUGAGGGUCCUCACAGCUGCUAAGAGUGAUGGAAUUUCUGGAAAAUAUGGCCCACCGAAUUUACCACAACAUGACUCCAAACAAGUCAAAAAAACAAAUACACCCCAACUCAUUUUUUGGUGUCUCAAAGUGUAGCAAAAUGUGUUGAUAAGAGGUUCUGAAUGCAUAACAGCGUUUCUGCUAGAGCAAUUUUGUCUCAGUGGCGCUACAGUGUUUAGCUCUAGGCUAAAUUUUCCUACAGGAAACCCUAUACUAUAUCAGUAGAUAUCCUCUAAAAUGUAGACACAGAUACAUCUCUAACAAUAACACCAAAAAUAAGGAGACUUGAUUUAUUCAAUCUAAAAGAAUCACUAUUUUAAUGUACAAGAGAUAGUUUAACUGCCUUUAACUGCCAUUUUGCACAGCCUGGUGUUCUCCUUAUGUAAAGCCUUGACUUGGGUCUCAAGAUCUUUACUGGCUGCAGAAGAUCCUACACUCUGCUGCUCCUGCAGUCUUUCAUUCUCUUCCCUGAGGGCCCUGAUCUCCUCCUCAAGUGCCUCUAAAGCAGUCCCCACUGGGCUGAGGUCAGUCUAAUUCAAACUGUCUUGCAGCUAUGAGUCUGUAGUUUUUCUAAUGGGUAAAAAUUAUAAAAUCAAUUAUGUAUGAAACAAUACACACAAAAGUUAGGAAAAUUAAACCAAAAACUGAUUAAAAUGAAUUAUUAAGUUUAAUAGGUUCCAUGGUUAGACUCUGUUUUGUUUAAAUUCAUAUCUGUAGUACUAUAGUUCCUUUUUUUUUUUUUAAGUUGCCAGGAACGUUCUUGUACAAUCCAGCAGCGCUAACAUAUACAGACACACAAACACCUAUGGGCAAUUUAUAGUCACCAAUUAACCUAACAUGCAUACAAAUAUUCGCCUGUGGGAUGACGCCAGAGUACCCAGAGAGAAUAGCAAACUCCACACAGAAAGGCCCCAGCCAGCCAGCGGGUUUGAACCCAGAACCCUCCCAGCAAGCAGUAGCCGUCAUUUCACCGUCUAGGUUAACUAUAGACCAAAUAUAGUCCGGCAAUUUUUAACACUUCUAGGGAAAAUAACCUUGAAUUUGGUUACAUGUCGCUUCUGCCAAAAUAACUUGUGAGAUGACUCCACCAUGUAUGCAAAUUCAACAGUGAUUACAAGGUGUUUUCAUUUGGUCUAUUAAAUUUUCACUGACAGCCCAAAUUUUGCCUUGUUUUAACUUAGACGUGUGGGCUGUGUUUGGACGGCUAUUUGAUGUCUUUUAAAUGCAAAACUGCUUGCUGGGCUCUUGCUGUGAGGCGACAGUGCUAACCACUGUCAGAAAUGUACAAAUAUAUACAGACAGAAAUGUAAAAAUAUAUUAUCAAAAUAGCUGUCAUUAAAAGAACACUAUUACCUUUUUUGCCACUUGUUCUACCUCCUGUGUGUCAAGGUAAAGUUUGUUGGGUUCCCUCUUUCUCUUCUUGCUUUUUGGUAGGUCCUCUUGCAAGAGUUUCUUCUCAGCAGUCUUAAGUGUAGACUCAUUUUCUAUUAGUAAGAAAUAGUAGCAAGACAGAAUUUAAUGCCUAGAAACAAAACUAUGUGGCUUACAUAAUCAAAUACUGUAUUUUACUGUCAAUUUUUGUGCUGUUUUUACAGUUUUUUGCAUUGUUUCCCCCUGCUUUUUCAUAAGUUUAGUCUGUACAUUUUAACAUGUUAAAUUUUGCUGCCAUUUACAGCCGCUAAACUGAUUUUCACUGUACAAUGUUAUUGGCUGACAAUGUUGACAGUUAAGUAUUCUUAUUCAGUCAAAUCUUAGCUGACAAUCUUCAAUUUAGGACUUUUAAAGUAAGUGCUUAAUUAGUGUUUCACUUCUACAUAAAAAUUCAUACUUAUGUGACUAAUGGCCCUUAAGCUAGCUAAAAGAUUAAAUAAAGCGUGACUCGAUCGUGACGGCCGUUAGCUAGCUUGUCACUAUCACAAAGCUAAUAGCCUACAGCGAACAUUACCUGGCCAAUAAUGCAAAACCUCAACAGGAUAACUGCUAUAAAUAAUGUUGCAUGACUAACCAAUUAAAAAACAUAUAAAAAAGCACUGUACUUGCCUGCCAACUGCAAAAUGUGCGCUGUUUUGACCAUCCACCCAUUAGUAGGCCUCUUGCCACCGAUGCUGCAGCACUCGAUAAGAUACUCCUUUUUAGAGUUUUCAGGAUCGAAGUCUACGAUCUAAGAUCCAAUUUACGGGGACUAUACUGCGAGUAUCUUUAUCCUUCCUCUUUGAUCAGCUCACUAGCGCAAACUUCAUCUUUUUUUUUCUUUUCUCCUCUCACCACUGAGGCACGUGCGCACAGACUCAGAGUAGUGGUGGCUUGUGUCCCGUACUGCCGGCACGAUCGGUUAUGCGCAUGCAUAUUAUCAUCUGCGCAUGCGAAUAACGGAUCAUGCAAACAGCAAAGUGCUACCGACAUUGAUCGAGGGUUCCGUUCCAGAAGAAGAGAGGCAUGGACGGAAGGAGAAGAAAAUACACUGACCCUGGUUCAGAACAUGUGAUUCCAUCAAGAACAAGGAGAUACAGGAAAAGGAGAACCAGGAUUCCUCUGACCACGACUCUGACAGUGGCUCAGAAGACACACAUGAUGGUGGUGGGAUUACUCAGAACCUGGUUCAGGAUUCCUCUGACAACAGAUCUGAAAAUGCACAUGAUGUUGAUGACAUUAAAACCCUGCACGCAGACCCUGAAUCCUAUGAACUACCACCAAAUUUGAGCCGAACAACAGAGUCAUUAAUCUUCAGUUUUGUGGACAGUGUUGAUUUUGGUGUGUUUGAACCACUAUAGCAGUCUUUUACUGACUCUGAAUCCACUGGCAGUGGAGAAAAAUUUCCAAUGGAAGUCAGUACUGACAAGUCAGUAAAUGAAGAAUCACAUUUGAGUGUAGGCAUUAAUGAAAGUUUUCCUCCAGUAAAUGACGAGAAACUUUACACAGGCUCACAACUAACCAAAGCUUAGAUUUUUUUUACUUAUCCUUUCAUAUGCUUUGAGACACUCACUUACUGGUGGGCCCUGUCUGAUCUUUUAGAUUUGAUUAAUAUCCACUGUCCAGAAAAUGUUCUAACUUCAAAGCAUCUGUUCUUAAAAGAGCUUAAACCAAUACAAGGUCACCUAGAAUGUCACAUAUACUGUCCCAACUGUGAAUAUUACAUCGGCGACCAAAUCACUGAAGGGCAGUGUUCUGUAUGUGACUCUACAUGGGAUAGAAACAGCUCACUGAAGAAUGGAAAUUUCUUCCUAUACAAUACUUACCCAUCCAAACACAACUGGAACAUCUUCUUCAAAGAGAAGAUAUUGCAUCUUGUCUUAAGUCUGGAAAUGGCACAUGUAAUUCAGACGAUUAUGAUGACAUAUGUUGUGGUAAAAUGUAUCAUAAUCUGAACCAAAAUGGCGGCCCACUAGAUAGCCCUCAUGCAUUCUCCUUAACAUUAAAUUGUGAUGGAGUUACAGUAUUCAAAUCAUCCCAAUAUGGAAUUUGGCCAUUACAAGGGAUGGUAAACGAGCUUCCUUCUCAUGUCCGUAAAGAGAAUGUUUUACUUUUUGGCCUGUGGUUUGGUGCUAAAAAGCCAAAUGUUAAUACAUUUUUAAAACCAUUCACAAAAUAGUGUCAGUCAUUGUCAACUGUUGGCUUCAAGUUACACAGCAACAACAUUGUGAAUCAUUGUAGAGUGAUAGCAGCUGUUAUGAUGUGUGAUUCAGUUUCCAGGCCCAUUCUGCAAAACAUGACUCAAUUUAAUGGCCAUUAUGGGUGCAGCCUCUGCCUACAUCCUGGUGAAUAAGUUCCAAAGGGAAAUGGAACUGUUAGGGUUUAUCCAUACAAAGAAGUUCCAAAAAGGGAUCAUGCUUCAACCCUAAAUGAUGCAAGGGAGGCUGUGCGUACCACACAAUCUGUGAGGGGCAUUAAAGGACCCACAUGUCUUGUCAACAUCCCACACUUUAACCUCAUAUCUGGAAUGUCUCCUGACCAUAUGGAUAAUGUACAUCUUGGAGUUGUUCGGCAAAUGACAAGCAUGUGGCUGGAUAGUGAACACCAUGAGGAGCCAUACUAUAUUGGUAAUCGUGUUCCUGAGCUCGACAAACAACUCUUGAGAAUUAAACUACCUUGCAAUAUCACAAGAGUGCCCCGCUCAUUUCAGCAAAGGAAGUUUUGGAAAGCCAGUGAAUGGCAGAACUGGUUACUUUUUUAUAGCAUCUUUGUGCUAAAGGGAAUACUACCCCAUGCAUUUUACCAGCACUGGUUAAUCCUUGUCACCUGCAUGUUCUUGCUAUGUAAGGACAUUGUUCCAUCAGAGGGGUUAAAAAGAUGUGAAAAACUAGUUGUUGAGUUUGUCAAACAGUUUGAAACACUGUAUGGAAAGGACAAGGUGUCAUUUAACAUACAUUUAUGUCUUCAUUUGCCGGACUCUGUGAGAAAUUGGGGACCUUUGUGGGCACAUUCAGGAUAUAUUUUUGAGUCUUUUAAUGGGGAGAUACUGAAAAUGUUUCAUGGCACUCAGUGUAUUCCCUUACAGAUAAUGAAACAAUAUAAAUUCUAGUAUAUUGCAAUAUUUUUUUUUUUUGUAAGGAAAUCCAAGCUACAUUUUUGUUUUCUUCUAGUUUUUUUAAUUUAAAUCUUAAUAGCCAUCCUUCACCUCAGCACAUUGACACAGAAAAU